rnacentral:rRNA from 1 species
AUUGAACGCUGGCGGCAGGCUUAACACAUGCAAGUCGAGCGGUAACAGAGAGAAGCUUGCUGCUCUGCUGACGAGCGGCGGACGGGUGAGUAAUGCCUAGGAAUCUGCCUAGUAGUGGGGGAUAACUUGCCGAAAGGUAAGCUAAUACCGCAUACGUCCUACGGGAGAAAGGAGGGGACCUUCGGGCCUUUCGCUAUUAGAUGAGCCUAGGUCGGAUUAGUUAGUUGGUGAGGUAAUGGCUCAACAAGACCGCGAUCCGUAACUGGUCUGAGAGGAUGAUCAGUCACACUGGAACCGAGACACGGUCCAGACUCCUACGGGAGGCAGCAGUGGGGAAUAUUGGACAAUGGGGGGAACCCUGAUCCAGCCAUGCCGCGUGUGUGAAGAAGGUCUUAGGAUUGUAAAGCACUUUAAGUUGGGAGGAAGAGCAGUUAACUAAUAUUUGACUGUUUUGACGUUGCCGACAGAAUAAGCACCGGCUAACUUCGUGCCAGCAGCCGCAGUAA